rnacentral:rRNA from 1 species
UACAGAGGGUGCGAGCGUUAAUCGGAAUUACUGGGCGUAAAGCGUGCGUAGACGGUAGCGUAAGUCAGAUGUGAAAGCCCCGGGCUCAACCUGGGAAUUGCAUUUGAUACUCUGAGGCUGGAGUACGGGAGAGGAGAGUGGAAUUCCCAGUGUAGAGGUGAAAUUCGUAGAUAUUGGGAAGAACACCGGUGGCGAAGGCGGCUCUCUGGACCGUAACUGACGCUGAGGCGCGAAAGCGUGGGGAGCAAACAGG